UGCCAGUGAUGAUAAAUUAGGGUUUUGUUCUCACAAAAAUUCAUAGUUGUUGCCUAAGAUCUUUUGCCCUGCAAGGCUUGAGAGAUAAUGCUGUUAGAUUCUUCCUUGGAUGUCUGAGGCA